UGAUACCUAAAGGUUAGGCACCUUGGCUAUGAUCUCAUCUGCAAAAAAUAAUUUUAUUUUAUUUUAGAUAAUUUUACAAUAUUCACAUUUAUAUUGAACAAAAGUGGAAUGAAAACAUAGAUUUUGAAAGUUCAAGGGUGAGUUUUAAGGCCAAAAAUGGGAAAACCAUUCAUUGUGGAUUAGGUAAUAGGAGAUGAGGUUCAUUUUUGUAGACCAAAAGGCCAUGGAAUUUAACGUCAUUCCCCACAAACAAAAUAGAAUAAUAGAGACUGCCCUUUGGAUUUAUAUCUUUCAAUUCGAGGAAUCAAUCAAGGAGAUCGGAUAACAAAUUGGAUAAGAAAAUUGAACGAUGGGGAAAUUUUGAAAAGUUAAUAGAUUUUGGGGCUUGUUUAGCAAGUCCUAAAAUAAUGUAAAAUUGAAAUCUAAACAAUUAACUGGUAGGUUUAAUAAUCAUUUUCUUUUAUUUGUAAGCUAUGUAGGGUUGCAG
rnacentral:lncRNA from 1 species